UAAUACGGAGGGGGCAAGCGUUGUUCGGAUUUACUGGGCGUAAAGGGCGCGUAGGCGGAACGUCAUGUCAGGGGUGAAAGGCCUGGGCUCAACCUGGGAACUGCCCUUGAAACUGGCGAUCUGGAGUCCGGGAGAGGAUGGCGGAAUUCCCAGUGUAGAGGUGAAAUUCGUAGAUAUUGGGAAGAACACCGGUGGCGAAGGCGGCCAUCUGGACCGGUACUGACGCUGAGGCGCGAAAGCGUGGGGAGCAAACAGGAUUAGAUACCCUGGUAGUCCACGCCGUAAACGAUGUGUGCUAGCCGUUGGGGCACGUGGUGUUUCGGUGGCGCAGUUAACGCAUUAAGCACACCGCCUGGGGAGUACGGUCGCAAGAUUA
rnacentral:rRNA from 1 species